rnacentral:rRNA from 1 species
AUGGAUGACAACUUUUGUCCCGUAGUUAGCUGGAAUGUGCGAGGGAUCAAUAUGCCGGCCAAACGUGAUGUUGUCUGCGAAGCAGUAGCUGUGCAUCGACCGGCGAUCCUCUGCCUUCAGGAAACCAAGAUCGACGUCUGGUCCCCGGCCUUAGUGAAGGACAUAGGUGGUAGCAGGUUAGUCGACUGCGUAGUGCUACCUGCGAUCGGCUCCAGGGGCGGGGUUGCCAUUUUUUGGGACAGUCAGAUCGUUUCGAUCGUGUCCCAGGCCAUAGGAGAGUUUGCCAUCACUGUAAAAGUGACCGCCGUCCGAUCGGCCACCGUAUUUUGGUUAACUGCAGUCUAUGGGCCGGCGGACGACGCUCGCAAGGAUGCUUUCCUUCUCGAGCUUGCAAUCUGCACCCACCCUAGUGAUCCCUGGCUUCUAACCGGCGACUUCAAUAUUAUCUACGAAGCUAGAGAUAAGAACAAUUUCAACCUGAACCGGCGAAUUAUGGGGAAGUUUAGGGCGGCGCUAGAUGCGGCUGGCUUGCGGGAAAUCAAGUGU